AGCAGCCGCGGUAAUUCCAGCUCCAAUAGCGUAUAUUAAAGUUGUUGCAGUUAAAAAGCUCGUAGUUGAAUUUCGGGAUCAGUACGCUGGUCGUGCCUUUGGUAUGUACUGGUGUCACUGAUUCCUCCCUUCUGAAGAACCGUUAUGCCAUUUAUUUGGUGUGGCGGGAAAUCAGGACUGUUACUUUGAAAAAUUAGAGUGUUUAAAGCAGGCUCACGCUUGAAUACAUUAGCAUGGAAUAACGAAAUAGGACGUUUGAUUCUAUUUUGUUGGUUUCUAGGAUCGACGUAAUGAUUAAUAGGGAUAGUUGGGGGCAUUAGUAUUCAAUUGUCAGAGGUGAAAUUCUUGGAUUUAUUGAAGACUAACUACUGCGAAAGCAUUUGCCAAGGAUGUUUUCAUUAAUCAAGAACGAAAGUUAGGGGAUCGAAGACGAUCAGAUACCGUCGUAGUCUUAACCAUAAACUAUGCCGACUAGGGAUCGGAUGAUGUUAAUUUUUAAUGACUCAUUCGGCGCCUUAAC
rnacentral:rRNA from 1 species